UUAAAAUUAUUGCAUAAUUUAUAUAGAGUAGUUUGUACUGAUAUUGAUGUGUUUUAACUCUUCAUAUACUGUUGUUGCAUGUUAAUAUUAUUGAUUAUAUUUUGUUUGCAACUGUAUUUGUCUUACCAGUAACACAAACAACCGCAGCACAGCUUCAGAAAAAGCUUAAAGAUGAGCUGUUAAGGAAAAGUCCCCGUUAUGAGGUUGUUAAGCAACUUCUUGACCUUGACUUUCCUGAACGGAAACACUUUAUAAAGACUGUCAAAGGAGAUGUUAGGCUCAUAUUGGAAAAGUAUAGCUGCUUUCAUCAGCCUAAUCAUUUGCAGGAUGAGAUGAGCAGACAUCUGCAAAAAUCAUUGGAAGGGUUAAAAGCAAAAUGGGAACUUGAGGUCAACAUUAUCUUGAAGUACGGAGAAGAGAAAAAGCUUUUGAACAUUAGCCUUGCAUGGUCACUUGAGAAGAAGACAAGUGAGGCUCUACAGAUCCUGCCAGAUCUCUUUGCUGCAGGAAAAUCUGCACCAACUGGCUUAAAAAAGAGUGAGAUGCUACUGCAGUUUG